GGGGCUGUGGCGCAGGCCGGUAGCGCACCUCGUUCGCAUCGAGGGGGUCAGGGGUUCAAAUCCCCUCAGCUCCACCA
rnacentral:tRNA from 1 species